UACGGAGGGGGCAAGCGUUGUUCGGAAUUACUGGGCGUAAAGGGCGCGUAGGCGGCCAGCACAAGUCAGUUGUGAAAUCUCCGAGCUUAACUCGGAAAGGUCAACUGAUACUGUGCGGCUAGAGUGCGGAAGGGGCAACUGGAAUUCUUGGUGUAGCGGUGAAAUGCGUAGAUAUCAAGAGGAACACCUGCGGCGAAGGCGGGUUGCUGGGCCGACACUGACGCUGAUGCGCGAAAGCCAGGGGAGCGAACGGG
rnacentral:rRNA from 1 species